ensembl:lncRNA
CUUCUCAGUGCGGAAGGAUGAAAGAUGUGUUUUGAAAAUGCCACGUGACUACCGUCCUCCUCCCUCUCGGAUCAGUCCGCAUGUUCACGGUGCAUUUUUUAUGGAAUAUGUUGAGCAAACCUGGAGAAGCGUCAGCUCAAGAUAUUAUUGUUGUCAUUGCUGUGGAUCUUUACCUGAUACACUGACUUGGUGAGUAAAUGUUUACUCUUAUUCAAACUGAUUUUGUGGCUUCUCUUAGUUUAGCACCAGGUUUAUAAUCUUGCUAGCUAGUUAGUGUUAG